rnacentral:rRNA from 1 species
CACUGCCGAGAAAAGCCUCUAGAUAGAAAAUAGGUGCCCGUACCGCAAACCGACACAGGUAGUCAAGAUGAGAAUUCUAAGGUGAGCGAGCGAACUCUCGUUAAGGAACUCGGCAAAAUGACCCCGUAACUUCGGGAGAAGGGGUGCUCUUUAGGGUUAACGCCCAGAAGAGCCGCAGUGAAUAGGCCCAAGCGACUGUUUAUCAAAAACACAGGUCUCUGCUAAACCGUAAGGUGAUGUAUAGGGGCUGACGCCUGCCCGGUGCUGGAAGGUUAAGAGGAGUGGUUAGCUUCUGCGAAGCUACGAAUCGAAGCCCCAGUAAACGGCGGCCGUAACUAUAACGGUCCUAAGGUAGCGAAAUUCCUUGUCGGGUAAGUUCCGACCCGCACGAAAGGCGUAACGAUUUGGGCACUGUCUCAACGAGAGACUCGGUGAAAUCAUAGUACCUGUGAAGAUGCAGGUUACCCGCGACAGGACGGAAAGACCCCGUGGAGCUUUACUGUAGCCUGAUAUUGAAAUUCGGCACAGCUUGUACAGGAUAGGUAGGAGCCUUUGAAACGUGAGCGCUAGCUUACGUGGAGGCGCUGGUGGGAUACUACCCUAGCUGUGUUGGCUUUCUAACCCGCACCACUUAUCGUGGUGGGAGACAGUGUCAGGCGGGCAGUUUGAC